UACGUAGGGGGCAAGCGUUGUCCGGAAUCAUUGGGCGUAAAGAGCGUGUAGGCGGCCAGAAAAGUCCGCUGUGAAAACUCGAGGCUCAACUUCGAGCUGUCGGUGGAAACUUUCUGGCUAGAGUCCGGAAGAGGAGAAUGGAAUUCCUGGUGUAGCGGUGAAAUGCGUAGAGAUCGGGAAGAACAUCGGUGGCGAAGGCGCUCUACUGGACCACAACUGACACUCAGGGACGAAAGCUAGGGGAGCGAAUGGG
rnacentral:rRNA from 1 species